ACGAAGGGGGCUAGCGUUGUUCGGAAUUACUGGGCGUAAAGCGCACGUAGGCGGGUCGUUAAGUUAGAGGUGAAAUCCCAGGGCUCAACCCUGGAACUGCCUUUGAUACUGGCGGCCUUGAGUUCGAGAGAGGUGAGUGGAAUUCCGAGUGUAGAGGUGAAAUUCGUAGAUAUUCGGAGGAACACCAGUGGCGAAGGCGGCUCACUGGCUCGAUACUGACGCUGAGGUGCGAAAGCGUGGGGAGCAAACAGG
rnacentral:rRNA from 1 species